rnacentral:lncRNA from 1 species
AUUAUGUUUUGGAGAAUUUCAUAAGUUUGAUAGUAGAUCUAUGAUUCAAAUUUUAAAGACUUAUAAGAAUAGUUUUUUGAAAUGUGUGUUAUAAUUUUGAGCUUAAUCGAAUGGUUGAAAUGAAGGUUAUUGAAUUUUAAGUAGAUUAAGGUCUUAGAAAUUAGACUUUGAGAGGCAGUUAGAGUUUAUAAGAUCUUUAGUAAUUCAUUAGUUGGAUUGGAAAGAAAUUUAUAUAUAAAAAUAAUAGACUUGAUUUUCUACACAUUUGUGAAAUUUAAAAACAAUUAAAUAGUUUGAAAAAGAAAUAUUAGUGCUAGAAGUUCAACAUUCAGAUUGGAGUAAGAUACCAACCAAUACCUAAGUAGAUUUUAGGAUUUUUUUUCAUUUGGGUAAGUGCAAUUAUCUUCAAAUUUAUUAUAUAGUUUUUUAAUUAAGAGAUUGAGAGGUAUUUAAAUUUUUAAUCAAGAUCAAUGAUUUAAUCAAUAGAUAUUAGGAUUCUAAUCUGUCUUAUGAUUUGAUUUAAGAUUUAGGAUUUUUUUAGGAUUUGGUUUAAGGUUUAGGAUUUUUGUAGGAUUUGUUUUAGGAUUUAAGAUUUUUUUAAGAUUUGAUUUAGGAUUUAGGAUUUGAUUUAGGAUUUAAGAUUUUUUUAGGAUUUUUUUAGGAUUUGAUAUAUGAUUUAGGAUUUAGGAUUUGAUUUAGAAUUUAAGAUUUUUUUAGGAUUUAUUUAGGAUUUGAUUUAAGAUUUAGAAUAUACGUAGGAUUUAAGGAUUAUUGAUUAAAGAUUAUUGAUGAAGGAUUAUUUGGAUGCACAUAGAGUUAUAGCAAUAAAAGCUGAAAGUUAUG